rnacentral:rRNA from 1 species
UGGGGAAUUUUGCGCAAUGGGGGAAACCCUGACGCAGCAACGCCGCGUGCGGGAUGAAGGCCUCGGUUGUAAACCGCUUUCAGUAGGGAAGAAAAUGACGGUACCUACAGAAGAAGCUCCGGCUAACUACGUGCC